rnacentral:rRNA from 1 species
UACGGGGGGAGCAAGCGUUGUUCGGAUUUACUGGGCGUAAAGGGCGCGUAGGCGGUCAGCACAAGUCAGUUGUGAAAUCUCCGGGCUUAACUCGGAAAGGUCAACUGAUACUGUGCGACUAGAGUGCAGAAGGGGCAACUGGAAUUCUCGGUGUAGCGGUGAAAUGCGUAGAUAUCUGGAGGAACACCGGUGGCGAAGGCGGCAUCCUAGACCGGUAUUGACGCUGAGGCGCGAAAGCUAGGGGAGCAAACGGG